UACAGAGGGUGCAAGCGUUGUUCGGAAUUAUUGGGCGUAAAGCGCGUGUAGGCGGCUUUGCAAGUCGGGUGUGAAAGCCCUCAGCUCAACUGAGGAAGUGCGCCCGAAACUGCAGAGCUUGAGUGCCGGAGAGGGUGGCGGAAUUCCCCAAGUAGAGGUGAAAUUCGUAGAUAUGGGGAGGAACACCGGUGGCGAAGGCGGCCACCUGGACGGUAACUGACGCUGAGGCGCGAGAGCGUGGGGAGCGAACAGG
rnacentral:rRNA from 1 species